UACGUAGGGGGCUAGCGUUGCUCGGAAUCACUGGGCGUAAAGGGUGCGUAGGCGGCUCUUUAAGUCAGGGGUGAAAUCCUGGAGCUCAACUCCAGAACUGCCUUUGAUACUGAAGAUCUUGAGUUCGGGAGAGGUGAGUGGAACUGCGAGUGUAGAGGUGAAAUUCGUAGAUAUUCGCAAGAACACCAGUGGCGAAGGCGGCUCACUGGCCCGAUACUGACGCUGAGGUGCGAAAGCGUGGGGAGCAAACAGG
rnacentral:rRNA from 1 species